ACACAUGCAGUCGAACGAUGAACUUGGAGCUUGCUCUGGGGGAUUAGUGGCGAACGGGUGAGUAACACGUGAGUAACCUGCCCUGGACUCUGGGAUAACUUCGAGAAAUCGGAGCUAAUACCGGAUAGGACCUUGCACCGCAUGGUGUGGGGUGGAAAGUUUUUCGGUUUGGGAUGGACUCGCGGCCUAUCAGCUUGUUGGUGAGGUAAUGGCUCACCAAGGCGUCGACGGGUAGCCGGCCUGAGAGGGUGACCGGCCACACUGGGACUGAGACACGGCCCAGACUCCUACGGGAGGCAGCAGUGGGGAAUAUUGCACAAUGGGCGCAAGCCUGAUGCAGCAACGCCGCGUGCGGGAUGACGGCCUUCGGGUUGUAAACCGCUUUUAGUAGGGAAGAAGCCUUCGGGUGACGGUACCUGCAGAAAAAGGACCGGCUAACUACGUGCCAGCAGCCGCGGUAAUACGUAGGGUCCGAGCGUUGUCCGGAAUUAUUGGGCGUAAAGAGCUCGUAGGCGGUUUGUCGCGUCUGCUGUGAAAACUAGAGGCUCAACCUCUAGCCUGCAGUGGGUACGGGCAGACUUGAGUGGUGUAGGGGAGACUGGAAUUCCUGGUGUAGCGGUGGAAUGCGCAGAUAUCAGGAGGAACACCGAUGGCGAAGGCAGGUCUCUGGGCACUUACUGACGCUGAGGAGCGAAAGCGUGGGGAGCGAACAGGAUUAGAUACCCUGGUAGUCCACGCCGUAAACGUU
rnacentral:rRNA from 1 species